rnacentral:ncRNA from 1 species
UCUUAUCCAGAGAGGUGGAGGGACUGGCCCGAUGAAACCUCGGCAACCCGCUUAGGGCGGGUGCAAAUUCCUGCAGAGGGACACCUGAGAGAUAAGA